rnacentral:rRNA from 1 species
AAGUUGCAAAGCACUUUGAAGAUUAAAGAGGACGUGAAACCGAUUAUAUGAGGUGGAAACGGAUAGAACCAGCGUAUCUGGCCUGCAUUCAACCGCUCGCGGGAAGCGCUCGUGCAGCUGGCGACCCCAGAUUGGGACAGUUGUGCGAGUCAUGCUGGACGCGAGAGGUGCAUUUGCAGGUCGAGUGCGCCGAAAGGCUCGGGGCAGCAGUGUGAGCCCGGUUUUGAGGCCAGCUUGCUGGUGAGAGACCCGGACUUGGGGGAGUGCUGUUUGUUCUGAGACUGGGCAUGGCUUACGGGUUUGAUUAUGAAAGGACUGAAGGUUGGCGGCGGUCGCUUGCGACACGUGCUGUGCCAACAGUCCUAUCAUGGUUGGCCACGAUUCACUUGCCUAUUCUCGGUGUAAGAGCUGGUCAUCUCUCCGUCUUGAAACACGGACCAAGGAGUUUAUCGUGUGCGCGAGUCAUUGGGCGUUGAAAACCCAAAGGCGCAAUGAAAGUGAAGUGCCACGCAAGUGGCUGAUGUGCGAUGUUGUGUGCCAAGGCACACGACCGCAGCAUGGCCCCAUCCUGGCUGCUUGCAGCGGGGUGGAGGAAGAGCGUGCGCGAUGAGACCCGAAAGAUGGUGAACUAUUCCUGAGCAGGAUGAAGCCAGAGGAAACUCUGGUGGAAGUCCGAAGCGAUUCUGAAGUGCAAAUCGAUCGUCUGACUUGAAAUC